rnacentral:tRNA from 1 species
GAUCGGCUAGUGUAGUGGUUAUCACGUUUGCUUUACACGCAAAAGGUCCCAGGUUCGAAUCCUGGGUCGAUCA